rnacentral:rRNA from 1 species
UACGUAGGGUGCAAGCAUUAAUCGGAUUUAUUGGGCGUAAAGGACGCGUAGGCGGAUAAGCAAGUCAGUUGUGAAAUCCUUCGGCUCAACCGGAGAAUGGCAAUUGAAACUACUUGUCUUGAGGGUAGAUGGAGAGAACGGAAUUCCACGUGUAGCGGUGAAAUGCGUAGAUAUGUGGAAGAACACCGGUGGCGAAGGCGGUUCUCUAAUUUAUACCUGACGCUGAGGCGUGAAAGCAAGGGGAGCAAAC